GCUUGUGAAAAUGAAGGAUAGUUGUGCCUGCACUGCAAGAAAGGUGAUUUAGGGCACAGAUCUCAUGACUGCUACCCUGAAAAACCUGCUGUGUGCCAGACCCAUCAGUGUGUGAGGCUGAAUGGUCAUCCUUCUGGUGGAAUGCAACUGUAAACUACUCCAAAAGAAAAACGACAGUAGAUACUAUACAGCAAACAUGACAAGAGUGUGAAUUAGUGGAAUGCUUCCCUCAGGAAACAUAUCCAGGCAGCAGUAAUGGAUAAUAAGUCCAAUGGCUUAUCUCCUACCAGGUAAUAAAGUUACAUAAUAGCAAUACA
rnacentral:lncRNA from 1 species